GUGAAUCAUCGAAUCUUUGAACGCACAUUGCGCCCGCCAGUAUUCUGGCGGGCAUGCCUGUUCGAGCGUCAUUUCAACCCUCAAGUCCCCUGUGGACUUGGUGUUGGGGACCGGCGACGCACAGCUGUUUACAGCUGGUCGCCGCCCCCUAAAUGACUUGGCGGCCUCGUCGCGGCCCUCCUCUGCGUAGUAGCACACACCUCGCAACAGGAGCCCGGCGAAUGGCCACUGCCGUAAAACCCCCAACUUCUUUUUAGAGUUGACCUCGAAUCAGGUAGGAAUACCCGCUGAACUUAAGCAUAUCAAUAAGCGGAGGA
rnacentral:misc_RNA from 1 species